rnacentral:rRNA from 1 species
GAUGAACGCUGGCGGCGUGCUUAACACAUGCAAGUCGAACGGAAAGGCCCAAGCUUGCUUGGGUACUCGAGUGGCGAACGGGUGAGUAACACGUGGGUGAUCUGCCCCGCACUUCGGGAUAAGCCUGGGAAACUGGGUCUAAUACCGGAUAGGACAGUGGUUUGGAUGCCAUUGUGGAAAGUUUUUUCGGUGUGGGAUGAGCUCGCGGCCUAUCAGCUUGUUGGUGGGGUAAUGGCCUACCAAGGCGUCGACGGGUAGCCGGCCUGAGAGGGUGUACGGCCACAUUGGGACUGAGAUACGGCCCAGACUCCUACGGGAGGCAGCGGUGGGGAAGAUUGCACAAUGGGCGCAAGCCUGAUGCAGCGACGCCGCGUGGGGGAUGACGGCCUUCGGGUUGUAAACUCCUUUCGCUAGGGACGAAGCGUUAUGUGACGGUACCUAGAGAAGAAGCACCGGCUAACUACGUG